UUAAUCGGUAAAGACGACAAAGUCAGAGGUAUGUAAGUAAUCGGUAAAGAUGACAAAGUCAGAGGUACUAAGUAAUUGGUAAAGAUGACAAAAUCAGAGGUACGUAAAUAAACGGUAAAGAUGACAAAGUCAGAGGUACGUAAGUAAUCGGUAAAGAUGACAAAGUCAGAGGUACGUAAAUAAACGGUAAAGAUGACAAAGUCAGAGGUAUGUAAGUAAUCGGUAAUAAAAGAUGACAAAGUCAGAGGUACGUAAAUAAACGGUUAAGAUGACAAAGUCAGAGGUGUGUAAGUAACGUUAAAGAUGACAAAGUCAGAUGUAUGUAAGUAAUCGGUGAAGAUGACAAAGUCAGAGGUACGUAAAUAAACGGUAACGAUGACAAAGUCAGAGGUAUGUAAGUAAACGUUAAAGAUGACAAAGUUAGAGUUAUGUAAGUAAACGUUAAAGUUGACAAAGUCAGAGGUACGUAAAUAAAGGGUAAAGAUGAUAAAGUCCGAGGUACGUAAAUAAACGGUAAAGAUGGUAUAGCGGAUGGUCAGAGGUAUAUGUAAAUAAAUGGUGUGUAAAUGGAUGGUGAAGAUGGUUUUAAUUUAGAGGUGUGUAAAUGGAUGGUGAAGAUGGUUAAGUCAGAGGUGUGUAAAUGGAUGGUGAAGAUGGGAAAGUCAGAGUUGGGUAAAUGAACAUUGAAAAUGGUAAAAUCAGAUUUGGGUAAAUGAAUGGUAAAGAUAGUUAAGUUUGAGCUGUGGUAAAGGAAAGUAAAAUGGUUAAGUCAGAGGUGUGUAAAUGGACUGCAAAGAUGGUAAAGUCAGAGGUGUGUAAUUGAACGGUAAAGAUUGUAAAGUCAGAGAGAUUGUAAAGUCGAAGGUAAAGAUGAUAAAGUUAGAGGCACGCAAAUCAAUGGUAAAGAUAAUACAGAGUUACGUAAAUGAAUGGUAUAGCUGGUAAAGUCAGGUGUAUAAAUGGACGGCAAACCAAA